GAAAUGCGAUAAGUAAUGUGAAUUGCAGAAUUCAGUGAAUCAUCGAAUCUUUGCACGCACAUUGCGCCCCUUGGUAUUCCAUGGGGCAUGCCUGUUCGAGCGUCAUUUGUACCCUCAAGCUUUGCUUGGUGUUGGGCGUCUUGUCCUCUUCUGGAGGACUCGCCUCAAAACAAUUGGCAGCCGUCAUAUUGGUAUCGGAGCGCAGCACAAGUCGCACUUUGUUCCAUGAAUGUUGGCAUCCAUCAAGACCAUUCUUGCACUCUUGACCUCGGAUCAGGGAGGAGGACCCGCUGAAUUUAA
rnacentral:misc_RNA from 1 species